CCCGCUCGCCGGAAGACCAAGGGUUCCUGUCCAACGUUAAUCGGGGCAGGGUGAGUCGACCCCUAAGGCGAGGCCGAAAGGCGUAGUCAAUGGGAAACAGGUUAAUAUUCCUGUACUUGGUGUUACUGCGAAGGGGGGACGGAGAAGGCUAUGUUGGCCGGGCGACGGUUGUCCCGGUUUAAGCGUGUAGGCUGGUUUUCCAGGCAAAUCCGGAAAAUCAAGGCUGAGGCGUGAUGACGAGGCACUACGGUGCUGAAGCAACAAAUGCCCUGCUUCCAGGAAAAGCCUCUAAGCAUCAGGUAACAUCAAAUCGUACCCCAAACCGACACAGGUGGUCAGGUAGAGAAUACCAAGGCGCUUGAGAGAACUCGGGUGAAGGAACUAGGCAAAAUGGUGCCGUAACUUCGGGAGAAGGCACGCUGAUAUGUAGGUGAAGUCCCUCGCGGAUGGAGCUGAAAUCAGUCGAAGAUACCAGCUGGCUGCAACUGUUUAUUAAAAACACAGCACUGUGCAAACACGAAAGUGGACGUAUACGGUGUGACGCCUGCCCGGUGCCGGAAGGUUAAUUGAUGGGGUUAGCGCAAGCGAAGCUCUUGAUCGAAGCCCCG
rnacentral:rRNA from 1 species